GACGAACGCUGGCGGCGUGCUUAACACAUGCAAGUCGAACGGAAAGGCCCUGCUUUUGUGGGGUGCUCGAGUGGCGAACGGGUGAGUAACACGUGAGUAACCUGCCCUUGACUUUGGGAUAACUUCAGGAAACUGGGGCUAAUACCGGAUAGGAGCUCCUGCUGCAUGGUGGGGGUUGGAAAGUUUCGGCGGUUGGGGAUGGACUCGCGGCUUAUCAGCUUGGUGGUGGGGUAGUGGCUUACCAAGGCGUUGACGGGUAGCCGGCCUGAGAGGGUGACCGGCCACAUUGGGACUGAGAUACGGCCCAGACUCCUACGGGAGGCAGCAGUGGGGAAUAUUGCACAAUGGGCGGAAGCCUGAUGCAGCAACGCCGCGUGCGGGAUGACGGCCUUCGGGUUGUAAACCGCUUUCGCCUGUGACGAAGCGUGAGUGACGGUAAUGGGUAAAGAAGCACCGGCUAACUACGUG
rnacentral:rRNA from 1 species